GACGAACGCUGGCGGCGUGCUUAACACAUGCAAGUCGAACGGAAAGGCCCUGCUUUUGUGGGGUGCUCGAGUGGCGAACGGGUGAGUAACACGAGAGUAACCUGCCCUUGACUUUGGGAUAACUUCAGGAAACUGGGGCUAAUACCGGAUAGGAGCUCCUGCUGCAUGGUGGGGGUUGGAAAGUUUCGGCGGUUGGGGAUGGACUCGCGGCUUAUCAGCUUGUUGGUGGGGUAGUGGCUUACCAAGGCUUUGACGGGUAGCCGGCCUGAGAGGGUGACCGGCCACAUUGGGACUGAGAUACGGCCCAGACUCCUACGGGAGGCAGCAGUGGGGAAUAUUGCACAAUGGGCGGAAGCCUGAUGCAGCAACGCCGCGUGCGGGAUGACGGCCUUCGGGUUGUAAACCGCUUUCGCCUGUGACGAAGCGUAAGUGACGGUAAUGGGUAAAGAAGCACCGGCUAACUACGUG
rnacentral:rRNA from 1 species